UACAGAGGGGGCAAGCGUUGUUCGGAAUUACUGGGCGUAAAGGGCGCGUAGGCGGCCUUCUAAGUCGAACGUGAAAUCCCCGGGCUCAACCCGGGAACUGCGUCCGAUACUGGAAGGCUUGAAUCCGGGAGAGGGAUGCGGAAUUCCAGGUGUAGCGGUGAAAUGCGUUGAUAUCCUAAGGAACACCGGUGGCGAAAGCGGCUUACUGGGUCUUUUCUGACGCUGAGGCACGAAAGCUAGGGUAGCGAACGGG
rnacentral:rRNA from 1 species